UGAACUAUAACCUGCUCAGGUAGAAUUUAAUAACAGCGUGUCUGAACUGUACUUGACUUGAUCUCUGCUCAUCUCCAGGCUUCACUUCUCAUUUGGGCAUUUGAUUCACUGAAGUCAUCUUCACCACCUGCUCUUCCAGACGACGGACUCGUGCCCGAACACCUGCAGUUAACCAACCAAACACUGAUCAGUAAGGUAAAAAAUAAGGAAACACUGAGGAUCCCGUUUGCCUGUUUGCUGCUUGUGCUGCUCUUUGCCACUGGACGCUCAAAACUAGCUAAUCGUCAACUCAAAUGGCCGCAGAAAGAAACCCGUUAU